rnacentral:rRNA from 1 species
CAGUAGCCGCGGUAAUACGAAGGGUGCAAGCGUUAAUCGGAAUUACUGGGCGUAAAGCGUGCGUAGGCGGUGAGUUAAGUCUGCUGUGAAAGCCCUGGGCUCAACCUGGGAAUUGCAGUGGAUACUGGAUCACUAGAGUGUGGUAGAGGAUAGUGGAAUUUCCGGUGUAGCAGUGAAAUGCGUAGAGAUCGGGAGGAACAUCAGUGGCGAAGGCGGCCAUCUGGGACAACACUGACGCUGAGGCACGAAAGCGUGGGGAGCAAACAGGAUUAGAGACCCCCGUAGUCCCUGUCUCUUAUAC